AUACUAAAUAUAUAUGAGAUAAAGAGAAAGGAAUAUAAGUAUACCACUAAAGAAAGCCAUCAAACCACAAAGGAAUAGAGCAAGAUAAGAAAAAAGGAAUAGAGAGGAAAUACAAAAGCAUCCAGAAACCAAUUAACAAAAUGACAAUAAGUACAUACUUAUCAGUAAUUUUUUACAUGUGAAUGGGCUAAAUUAUCUCAACAAAAGACAUAAAGGGGCUAAAUGGAUUUAGAAAAAACAAGACCCAUCUGUAUGCUGUCUACAAGAGACCCACUUCAGAUAUAAAAACACACAAACAUUGAAGAUCUAGGGAUGGAAAAACAUAUUCCAUGCAAAUAGAAACCAAAAGAGGCUGGUGUGGUUAUAUUUAUACCGAAAAAAAAAAAAAAGACUUUGAAACAAAAACUGUAGUAAAAGACAAAGUUGAGCAUUACAUAAUGACAGAAGGGUCAAUCCACCAAGAGGAUACGUUUGUAAAUAUUUAUGCACCCAACAUAUGAGCACCUAAAUAUAUAAACAGACCUAAAAGUAGAAAUAGACAGCAGUAUAAUAAUAGUAGGGGACUUUAAUACCUCACUUUCAUUAAUGGGUAGAUUAUCCAAACCGAAAAUCAGUAAGGAAUCAUAUGCCUUAAAUGAUACACUAAACCAGACAGACUUAACAGACAUAUACAGAA